rnacentral:lncRNA from 1 species
UAAGAUUUGAUUAGAAUUUAAUUAUGAUUUAAAAUUUACCUAAAAUUUGAUUAGGAUUUGAUUAGAGUUUAAUUAUGAUUUGUCUAGGAUUUGAUCAAGGUUUUAUUAAAGUUCAUUAAGAUUGAUUUAAGAUUUAAGAUUCCAAUUAGGAUUUGAUCUAGGAUUUGGUUAAGAUUCAUUAGGAUUUUAAUUAGAAUUAAAUUAAUAUUCAAUUAAGAUUUAUUUAGGAU